CCAAGAAAACAGGAGAAGAAUGAUUCAAUCCAUGACAUGUAAUUAAUUACAGAACACUCCAUCACGAUCAAGAAAAGAGAAUUGUCAGUUUUCACAGCUAUGGGUAAAGCUAGCAAAUGUAAAUAAAAAUUUAAUUAAAAAAAAAGGCAAAGGCAAUCCCUCCAGCUGGCUUCAAAAGAGACAUGGCGAUUGACAAGGAAAAAAGCACUGCCAAAGAUCAUUUGAAACUUGAAUUAUACGUGAAGUAGAUAGGAUUUCAUCCGUACGGCAAGGUUAACUUAGAUGCCAUGUUUGGUACUUAACAUGAUGACCACUUAAAUGAGCUGACCACCUCGUCAGACGAAAAACAUGUUCGAAGCCUUUUGAUGAGAGAAUCGAGUGGGUUCCAACGAGGGGCCAAAACAGCACCCUCACUGAGCAAAAAUCAGUCUUGAGCACUCGAGCACAGUUCAGCACAGACUAGCGGUUCAACUUCCCAAGUACAAUUGGAACCCACAAAUCCAAACUCGAAAAAUAUCUUUUUAAUUCUUGUAAAAAACAAGCACAAAUCCAUAUCUAACUACAAAUAUGGACAAAAUACACACGGCGCUGGUUAAAAGUGGGUCAUACAGGAAAGUGUCUCAUUCCAUGGGCCGGUGAUAAUUCAUUUUUUUCUCUUGGUCGAAAGGUGAUAAUUCAUUCAUUGAGCGGUAAAUUUACAUUGAUUUUGCAGUUACCUCAAAAUUUAAAACUGAUUUGGUACCAAUAAAAUA